rnacentral:snRNA from 1 species
AAAAUAAGUAGGCAGGGGAGAUACCAUUAUCAUGAAGGUGGUUUUCCCAGGGCAAGGCUUAUCCAUUGCACUCUGGAUGUGCUGACCCCUGCGAUUUCCCCAAAUGUGGGAAACUCGACUGCAUAAUUUGUGGUAGUGGGAGACUGCGUUCGCGCUCUCCCCUG